rnacentral:tRNA from 1 species
UGAUUUAAAGUGUAAAGCACUUUGGAAUUUGAAUCCAACAGUAAUUAUUUUUAAUUUUAUCAA